UACGGGGGGAGCAAGCGUUGUUCGGAUUUACUGGGCGUAAAGGGCGCGUAGGCGGUCAGUGCAAGUCAGUUGUGAAAUCUCCGGGCUUAACUCGGAAAGGUCAACUGAUACUGCUCGACUAGAGUGCGGAAGGGGCAACUGGAAUUCUUGGUGUAGCGGUGAAAUGCGUAGAUAUCAAGAGGAACACCUGCGGCGAAGGCGGGUUGCUGGGACCGACACUGACGCUGAAGCGCGAAAGCUAGGGGAGCGAACGGG
rnacentral:rRNA from 1 species